rnacentral:rRNA from 1 species
CGGGCGGAACACGUACGCAACCUUCCUUCAAGCGGGGGAGUAGCCCAGGAGAAAUUUGGAUUAAUACCCAUAGGAAUGUGGUCUCGCAUGAGACGAGCAUUUAAAGAUUUAUCACUUGAAGAUGGGCGUGCGUCUGAUUAGGUAGUUGGUGAGGUAACGGCUCACCAAGCCGACGAUCAGUAACUGGCGUGAGAGCGCGACCAGUCACACGGGCACUGAGACACGGGCCCG